GACGAACGCUGGCGGCGUGCCUAAUACGUGCAAGUCGAGCGGAAUGAUGAAGAAGCUUGCUUCUUCUGAUUUUAGCGGCGGACGGGUGAGUAACACGUGGGCAACCUACCUUGUAGAUUGGGAUAACUCCGGGAAACCGGGGCUAAUACCGAAUAAUCCAUUUCGCUUCAUGGCGAGAUGUUGAAAGACGGUUUCGGCUGUCACUACAAGAUGGGCCCGCGGCGCAUUAGCUAGUUGGUAGGGUAAUGGCCUACCAAGGCGACGAUGCGUAGCCGACCUGAGAGGGUGAUCGGCCACACUGGGACUGAGACACGGCCCAGACUCCUACGGGAGGCAGCAGUAGGGAAUCUUCCACAAUGGACGAAAGUCUGAUGGAGCAACGCCGCGUGAGUGAAGAAGGUUUUCGGAUCGUAAAACUCUGUUGUAAGGGAAGAACACGUACGAGAGUAACUGCUCGUACCUUGACGGGUACCUUAUUAGAAAGCCACGGCUAACUACGUG
rnacentral:rRNA from 1 species